CUGGAGGACUAAGAAGGCUGAGUCU
rnacentral:ncRNA from 2 species